rnacentral:rRNA from 1 species
GACGAACGCUGGCGGCGUGCCUAAUACAUGCAAGUCGAGCGAAGUUUUUCUGGUGCUUGCCCUAGAAAAACUUAGCGGCGAACGGGUGAGUAACACGUAAAGAACCUGCCUCAUAGACUGGGACAACUAUUGGAAACGAUAGCUAAUACCGGAUAACAGUAUUUCUCGCAUGAGAGAUAUUUAAAAGUUGGUUAUGCUAACACUAUGAGAUGGCUUUGCGGUGCAUUAGCUAGUUGGUGGGGUAAAGGCCCACCAAGGCGACGAUGCAUAGCCGACCUGAGAGGGUGAUCGGCCACACUGGGACUGAGACACGGCCCAGACUCCUACGGGAGGCAGCAGUAGGGAAUCUUCCGCAAUGGGCGAAAGCCUGACGGAGCAACGCCGCGUGAGUGAAGAAGGAUUUCGGUUCGUAAAGCUCUGUUGUUAGGGAAGAAUGGAUAUGUAGUAACUAUACAUGUAAGAGACGGUACCUAACCAGAAAGCCACGGCUAACUACGU